GGCUGGAUGACGGAUCGGCUGCGGAUCGCAAAGGGUGACGCGGGCUCGGCUUCAGGCGACGGCUGCGAGAGAUGGCUGCUGCGGCGGACGCUCGGCGUGCGCGGAUCGGCUUGGACGAUUCUUCUGAUGCGGCUGGAAGCUCGGCGACGGCUCGGGUGGACUGCAGACUCGACUGCGCUGCUGAACAGAGAGAGGAAGGCUUGGCGGCUCGGGUUCGUGGCGGCGGCUAGGGUUUUAUGAAUAAAUUUUUUUCUCCCUUUUUCUCUUUUCUUUUCCCCUUUCUUUCUUUGAUUUUUCUCUUCUUCUUUACGCACGAGACCCAAGGCUUUUUAUAAGACAAUAUCUCUUUUCUUUUCCUUUAAAUAACCCAAACCAACCAUCUCCUCUCUCUCUCCAAAUCUCACCAAACUCAACCAACCCUCCUUUCAAUUAGCAAUAACUCAUUAAAUAAUUUCUAAAUACUAAAAUAGGUAACAUAAUAGAAAAAUACUUAAUAAUAAAAAAAGUGGAAAACCCAACUUUAAUAAACCGGAAAAUUCAAAAUGAUAAGGUUCUCCCAAUAAAUUUGUCUUUUCCAAGACCAUACAUAAAUAUUAAUAGUAAGAUGAACAAAAACGAGUUUGUUGGGACGUUACACCCAAACACACGAAGAGGAACCUCAGACACAAGGCGAGUAGAGGGGUAAGACGAUCUAAGGGAGUCUGAAGGGGGAGUAUACGAGAAGGCAUUCUAUUGAUUAAGUGAGUGGCUGUAAGAAUAACAUCUCCCCACAGGUAUGAUGGAAGGGAAGUGGAAAGCAUAAGGGAGCGAGCUACUUCCACAAGGUGACGGUUUUUUUUGUUCGACCACUCCAUUUUGUUGAGGAGUGUAGGCACAUGAGGUUUGGUGAGCAAUCCCUUUGGAGGUUAGAAAUUCACUAAGGUUAUGGUUUUGGAAUUCCCGACCAUUAUCACUUCGAAGAAUUGCAAUUUUUUAUGAAAUUAUGUUUCAAUAGUACGAUAGAAGUUUUGGAAAAUGGACGAAACCUCGGAUUUAUCUGUUAUUAGGUAGACCCAGGUAAGACGGGUAUGGUCAUCGAUGAAAGUUACAAACCACCGCUUUCCCGAUGAGGUGGUGACCUUGGAAGGACCCCAAACGUCACUAUGGAUGAGGGUAGACGGUUGUGUAGGUUUAUAUGGUUGUGAGGGAAAAGAGACCCGAUGUUGUUUAGCCCGGAUACACAUAUCGCAAGAUAGAGAAGAGACAUCAAGUUUAGAAAAAAGGUGGGGAAAUAAAUAUUGCAUAUAUGUAAAGUUUGGGUGGCCCAGUCGAAAAUGCCACAACAUACAGUCUUUGUUCAAAAGUGCUAAAGUAAGAUGACAGUAAACUAACCCUAGACAAACUACUAUAGGAGGUAUCAUCAUCAAGGAUGUAAAGUCCCCUUCUAUGUCAAGCAGUGCCAAUCGUCCUCCUCGAGCUUAUGUCCUGAAAAUAAACCGAUACAGAUAAGAAGAUAGCUUUACAAUGCAAUUCACGAGUGAUCUUGCUUAUAGAUAACAAAUUGUAAGACAGUUUAGGGACAUGCAAAACACUCUGGAGAGUAAAACUGUCAGAGGGAACUAUUUGUCCUUUGCCAGCGAUUAGAGCUAGAGAGCCAUCAGCUAUUCGAAUUUUUUCAUUACCGGUACACGGGGCAUAACAGAUAAAGUGUUUCGAAGAACCUUUCAAGUGAUCUAUAGCCCUUGAGUCUAAGAUCCAGGGAUUCUUCCCAUCAACGCUAAUAAGCCCAAGGGACUGAGGCAUACCUGACUGAGCAAUGGCACCCAGAGUCGGAGUCUUGGUCUGGCUCGCAGUAGGAUCAGUUGAUUGAGAGGUGCUGGCAGGGGUAGUCUCACUAAUGUAUGCACGUCAUGAGUUCUGUUUCUCGUUGGAGGACCGUUUGUUACCUCUUGGGGGACGACUGUGGAGUUUCCAACACUGAUCCUUGGUGUGCCAUUGUUUCUUGCAGUGCUUACACACAGGAAUUGACUUCCCAUUAUUCUUGUCACUGUCAUGAUUUGAGGACCGAGCGCUAAAGGCAGCGGAGUCAAUGGUAGGGGUAGUAGUACACCCAUGGCAUUAGUGCGAUCCUCUUCCAGGCGGACUUCAAAACAAACUUCCAUUAGGGAGGGAAGAGGUCUUUGUCCGAGUAUACGACCACAAACAGUAUCAAAUUUGGGAUUAAGUCUUGCAAGGAAGUCAUAAACACGGUCAACCUCUUCAAGUUUAGCAUAUUGAGUAUCGUCAUUUGGUGUGUCCCAAACUGUCUCUCUGCACAAAUCCAUCUCUUUCCAGAGGAGAGAGAGCUUGUUAAAAUAGGUAGUCACGUUCAGAGUCCCUUGUUUGCAAUUAUGGACCUGUUUUCGCAGUGUAUACAACCGAGAGGCAUUCUGUCGUUUCGAGUAAAGGGUUUGAGUUGUAUCCCACAAAUCUUUUGCUGUGGCAGCAGAUAGUAGAGGCUUGUCGAUCUGUGGUUCCAUACUAUUAAUCAACAUGGACCGAAUAAGUGAGUCCUCCCCUUUCCAAAGUCGUUCCAAGGCGUCUUCUGGUAGAGGACGUACAGUCCCUCCAGUUAAGAAGUCGAACUGGUGGCGACCUUCGAGGAACAUCUUUAUUGAUUGGGACCAAGAAAAAUAAUUUUGCCCAUUUAAUUUUUCACCUGAAAAAUUCUCUGUAGACGAACCCAAAGAGCCAGUUAUAUAAUUUGACAGUAAAUUAGGGAACGAAGUUAUCGGGUUCUUGGAAUACAUCGGUAACUCGGUUGGUUUGAAAUGCAUCAAAGACUCACCCGCUUCAAUGUUUGAUCUGUUCUAAGGUUGAUUAAUUCCGUUACCAGAAAACAAUGGUUGCUGUAAAGAGUCAACGUACAGCGGAUGCUUACUGUACAGAUUUGAAAGAUUUACGGUUGAGGGUUGCUAUCCGGAGCUCAUAGGCGGCGCGUGAGGAUGCGAAUGGCCGGAAGGGCUUGACGGUUGGACAUCCGACGGCGCGUAAAAGGGAAUGGGCUGGGCGGUGAGAUGAAACGGCCCAUGCGCUGGAGAGAAGCGGCGCGUGAAGCAUCUUCUGGUCAGACGGUGGCUCGUACGACUGCGAAACCACUCCCGUUGGGUAGAUCGGCGGUUUCUGUAGGUUUUGAAGCAGUUUCUCCAUGGCGGCAGCGACGACAGUGACGGGUUCAAUUUCGAUCUGGGUUUCUCCUAGGGUUUUGUUAUUGCUUUGCUCUGAUACCAUAUUGAAAGCAAUUAACAACAACCCGAGACUUACGUGGAAACCAGAGAACUGGGAGAAAAACCACGAUACUUUAGUUUUUAUUAUUUUUCUUAUGAAUACAAUUGGUACAAAUAGAGAAAAUAAAUAUAGUACAAUAGGAGUAAGAAAGGAAAAGAUCUAGGAAAUAUUUAGGAAAUAAAAUCUUAUAUAUUAUUCUUUCCAAAAAUACUCUAAGGACAAAGCCCUACUAAUUCUAACAGUAGGCUUUAAGGUUUUAUUUGUGAAGAUUAUGAUUUCAUAUUUAAGUUAAUGAAAGUGUUUUACAUUCCUACAUCAUGAAGUUGCAUCCUUUAUCUUUUUAAACAUGUGUAGCCAUAUACUGCUUUAACUUUAAGUUUAAACUGUAACAAUCUAUUCUUUCAGUGCAAAUCAUACUUACGGUUGCUGAACAUCAUAGUGCCAUUGUUCCUUGGCAACUUAUAGCUGAAAGGACCGGUGUUGUUCUGAAGUUUGUAAGUUUAGGUGAACAUAAUGUCCCAAACUUACUAGAGUUAAAGGAAAUGUUUUCAACAAAAACAAAGCUUGUGGUUACCUAUCAUGUCUCAAAAUGUAUUGGGUACACCAUUCUAUUUGAUAUUUAGCAUUUUUUUAAUCUAUUUCCUUUUUAUACCAUUCAAUUUAUAAACAUUACUCAAAUAAAACAAGUAGUAGGUGAAUAUUUCAAACUGAAGUGUUAUCAUAUUACUUCAGUUAUCACACUUCUAGUGGAAAGGUUUGCAGCUGAAUAAAAACAAUAAAGUCAAAUGAAUGAAGAAUGAAAAGAACUGUCAGACAUUUUUCCUUCUCUUGAUCUGUGUCCAGUUACUCUUGAUAUCUUUCUAAUAAUAACUAUAUGCAAAUAGUGGAAUUCAGUAUGAUUUGAUUUUUUUCUCUGCAACUUAUGUUCUUCCAAUUGAAGAAAUAGUUGGCUUAGCACAUCAUUUUGGGGCAAAAGUGCUUGUAGAUUCGUGCUAGAGUGUUCUACACAUAGUUGUCGACAUCUAGGCACUUGAUGCUGACUUUCUUAUUGCUUCUUCUCACAAGGUUAGGUUGUUUUCUUAUUAAUUAAAUGGCAAGCCUUACAUUUGGGCAUAUGAAGAUAAGGAAUAAACAUGCUUCAGAUGUGUGGGCCUACAGGCAUUGGAUUCUUGUAGAUUGAUCUAUUGUUUGCAAUGCCUCCAUUCUUAGAUGGUGGAGAUUUCUUGACCAUUCCACAUUUGCACAACCUCGUUCCAGAUUUGAAGCUGGGACGCCUACAAUUGGAGAAGCAAUUGGUUUGGGGAGCUGCUAUUGAUUAUCUAUCUAGGAUCGAAAUGCAAAAAAUUCAUAGUUACGAAGUGAGUUGAUUGAAAUUUGGUAUAUACCCUUUGUUUGAGAAUUUUUGGGCGGUGAAAAAUGCGUGAAGCAACUAAAUCAGGGUAUCAACUAAAUAAAUACCUUCAUAGAAGAAUUGGCGAAUUAUCUAUAUGAAAACCUUCGUGCAGUCCCUAACAUUCGAAUAUAUGGCCCAGCUCAAUUUAGACUUUAGUGUAUUUAUAAAUUAUUUAAUUAAGCAACGGUUUCAUGGACUACAUUUUUUCUACAUAAUUAUCGAUGUAUACAUUGUUGACACUUACCUGCCUUUGUUUUUUUUC